rnacentral:rRNA from 1 species
AGUGAACGCUGGCGGCAGGCCUAACACAUGCAAGUCGAGCGAGCGGCGGACGGGUGAGUAAUGUCUGGGAAACUGUCUGAUGGAGGGGGAUAACUACUGGAAACGGUAGCUAAUACCGCAUACCAUCAUAUGUGCCCAUAUGGGAUUAGCUGGUAGGUGGGGUAAUGGCUCACCUAGGCGACGAUCCCUAGCUGGUCUGAGAGGAUGACCAGCAACACUGGAACUGGGAUACGGUCCAGACUCCUACGGGAGGCAGGAGUGGGGAUGAUUGCACAAGGGGCGCAAGCCUGAUGCAGCCAUGCCGCGUGUGUGAAGAAGGCCUUCGGGUUGUAAAGCACUUUCAGCGAGGAGGCGUUACUCGCAGAAGAAGCACCGGCUAACUCCGUGCCAGCAGCCGCGGUAAUUC